CUACAAGCCUGGAGCUGCUGAUGGCGAUUUUUGCCAGUACUCGGGAAGAGCUGGCCUGAGAAUAAAGGCAAUACAAAGAGAAGCAGAGCCUACAGAGGGUCAGGGCCGAGGGCCUCCUGGAGGAGGUGAAAUCUGGAGGAUAAAUAGGAGUAAUAAAUGGACAAUUCUUCUCCUGAUGAGCUCUGGAAGAUCUGCUUAUCAUGGCCCAGUAAUGCUGAGCUAAUCUGGAAAGAUUUGGUUUCUGAAAUGUCAGAAUGGAGAGCCAACCUGCAAAUCAUGAUGACCAGUGACCGACAGAAGGAAAGGUCAAACUCGUAAAUUUGGGAACUUCCAAGAAUGUGAAGUCUGCUCAAACAGUCCUCCUGUCCCCAUAAUGUUUCAGAACAAGAACGAUGCCUGGUGGUUGAUUUGGCACAUGAAGAAUGGGAGGAGGAGAGAAGCUGGGGAUUAUUUUCUUCUGGGUGUUGAUUUAGAAAUCAAUUACUGGACUGCUCACUUCAACCAAAGUGGUAGAGUCAAUCCUUUGUCCUCAGACAGCCUUGAUCUUCUUGUAGUGCGAAGCAAUUCUUUUAUAAAGCUUGAUGGUUCUGCCUCUCUAUCUGUAAAAUAUUUGGCUAAGUCGAAUAAAGAUAGGAAAAACUGGAUACCUAAUUUUAGAUAGGUUAGAAACCAGUUCACCCCAAACCAUGCCAAAGAUCAAGUCAGAAUAGUUAAUGCUGCGUUAAAAAGUCAGCCUUAGCUGUUUUUCCACCUAGCCACUCCUGUCUUUGGUUUUUCAGGCUCCUCAUAUAAGGCAGCUUCCAAAUGCAGAAUUCCGAAAAGCUGAAUUGUCUCGAUUCCUCCCAAUGUGGCAUAGACUAUAAGGAAUUGAGAACGCCAAUAAUCCUAGAGAAACAGAUGGACAUUUUAUUAUUUUUUUUAAGAUUUUAUUUAUUUAUUUGACAGAGAGAGAUCACAAGCAGGCAGAGAGGCAGGCAGAGAGAGAGGAGGAAGCAGGCUCCCCGCUGAGCAGAGAGCCCGAUGCGGGGCUCGAUCCCAGGACCCUGAGAUCAUGACCUGAGCUGAAGGCAGCGGUUUAACCCACUGAGCCACCCAGGCACCCCCGGAUGGACAUUUUAAAUCACAAACAUUUAUGCACAACCCAAAUGAUGCAGUUUUGGAUAAGAUACAGAAAUUGAUCUUGGUCUUCCUUGUGCCCUUCCAUCCUCAUGAGGGAACUUGCCAAGGGCAGGAGAAAAGGAAGGGAGGAAGGAUCCUCUGGGUUGAAAGAUGAAAAAAGCCUGGCAGAAAUGGGUCACCUGUGAAAGGAAAAGUCUCAGUGUUCCCAAGAUUUGCAAAAUGGAUCUGAGCUGAUGUAGCCCUCAUUUCAACCUUGCAAGAUGUCAUAAAAUUACCUUUGGGCAACCUACCAAGUAUUUGAGAUUGGACAAAAAGGGGUUUUGAGAUGAUUUCCCGAACCAUAACAUGAAAAUGUUAUGGCCAAAGGACUCUUCAUCAAAGUUUAAUCUAGCAACCUACAACUUUAAAACAGAAAACAAGACAAAGUGAUUCACAGAUAUUAAGGAAUAGAAAAGAAAGUAGUACCUGGAGGUAAAGAGUAAAGAGAAGUUUAAAAACAAAACAAAACAGAAACAAGACCUGGGUUUAGAAGUUAUGAAAUAAAGGUUGGGAAAAUACAGUUUUGUUUUGUUUUGUUUUUAAAGGAAAGCAUUACAUCAGUUGUUAAAAAUGGCCCAGAAUUUCAGUCAAAUGUUAAAGCAAUCCUUUGGGGCGGG